GGGCGGUUGGCGCAGCGGUUAGCGCAAAUGCUUUACACGCAUUGGGUCGGGGGUUCGAAUCCCUCACCGCCUACCA
rnacentral:tRNA from 2 species